CCUACGGGGUGCAGCAGUGAGGAAUAUUGGUCAAUGGCCGGAAGGCUGAACCAGCCAAGUCGCGUGAAGGAUGACGGCCCUACGGGUUGUAAACUGCUUUUGUACGGGAAUAACGUGCAGUACGGGAAGUGCUUUGAGUGUACCGUAAGAAUAAGGACCGGCUAACUCCGUGCCAGCAGCCGCGGUAAUACGGAAGAUACGGGCGUUAUCCGGAUUUAUUGGGGUUAAAGGGUGCGGAGGCCGAAUGCCCAGUGUGCGGUGAAAUGGGCGGGCUCAACCCGCGCUGUGCAGUGCAACCUGGCGGGCUUGAGUCCGCGGAGGGCAGGCGGAAUUCGUGGUGUAGCGGUGAAAUGCUUAGAUAUGACGCAGAACCCCGAUUGCGAAGGCAGCUUGCUGCAGCGCAACUGACGCUGAUGCACGAAAGCGUGGGUAUCGAACAGGAUUAGAUACCCGGGUAGUC
rnacentral:rRNA from 1 species